UAGGGAAUCUUCCGCAAUGGGCGAAAGCUUGACGGAGCAACGCCGCGUGAGUGAUGAAGGUCUUCGGAUCGUAAAACUCUGUUAUUAGGGAAGAACAAAUGUGUAAGUAACUAUGCACGUCUUGACGGUACCUAAUCAGAAAGCCACGGCUAACUACGUGCCAGCAGCCGCGGUAAUACGUAGGUGGCAAGCGUUAUCCGGAAUUAUUGGGCGUAAAGCGCGCGUAGGCGGUUUUUUAAGUCUGAUGUGAAAGCCCACGGCUCAACCGUGGAGGGUCAUUGGAAACUGGAAAACUUGAGUGCAGAAGAGGAAAGUGGAAUUCCAUGUGUAGCGGUGAAAUGCGCAGAGAUAUGGAGGAACACCAGUGGCGAAGGCGACUUUCUGGUCUGUAACUGACGCUAAUGUGCGAAAGCGUGGGGAUCAAACAGG
rnacentral:rRNA from 1 species